rnacentral:rRNA from 1 species
GACGAACGCUGGCGGCGUGCUUAACACAUGCAAGUCGAACGGAAAGGCCCUGCUUUUGUGGGGUGCUCGAGUGGCGAACGGGUGAGUAACACGAGAGUAACCUGCCCUUGACUUUGGGAUAACUUCAGGAAACUGGGGCUAAUACCGGAUAGGAGCUCCUGCUGCAUGGUGGGGGGUGGAAAGUUUCGGCGGUUGGGGAUGGACUCGCGGCUUAUCAGCUUGUUGGUGGGGUAGUGGCUUACCAAGGCUUUGACGGGUAGCCGGCCUGGGAGGGUGACCGGCCACAUUGGGACUGAGAUACGGCCCAGACUCCUACGGGAGGCAGCAGUGGGGAAUAUUGCACAAUGGGCGGAAGCCUGAUGCAGCAACGCCGCGUGCGGGAUGACGGCCUUCGGGUUGUAAACCGCUUUCGCCUGUGACGAAGCGUGAGUGACGGUAAUGGGUAAAGAAGCACCGGCUAACUACGUG